GACACACACGACUAAACACGCAUGGACAUCGCUGGAGUACUUUACAGGCUCAUUUGAGAUGUUGUCAAGCAGACCAAAUCCCUGAAUGAACUUACAUCGACUGUGAUAGCCCAACGCACUCUUGUCCUGAAGGGAAUUCCUGUUUUACAUGGAUCAAGUCCAGCGAAUUCUACAGCACAGCAUUUGACGCUGUGACUGAUGGGACCAUCUCAUGUGUUGAUGUGCUCACUGUUCUUGGGGAGAUUGACGGCUAACAUCAUUUCCAGGGUCCAAGCUGCUGUCAGGUGUUAUGGUGGCACCUUAUUUCUGCUUGAUAUAAUAUAAUAUUCAUUUUCUGCUUGAUAUUACUAUGUAAUAAUUAUUACUAUUAUUAUUUUACUGCGGAGUCCAAGCACUCUUAUUUUACUUUAAAUAUGUUGAAUGGCAGGGUAGUUUGCUAUGUGAAUGCUGGAUAAUUAAAAAUAAAAAAAAUUGUGAUUAACCUAAACCAACCUUCUCAUUUCAUUUUUUUUGUUAGAUGUUUUUACAUACA